rnacentral:lncRNA from 1 species
AUCAGAGCUAACUGCAUCGUUAGUCUUCAGAACUGGCUGUUGUUGAAUUUUACUACCAAGAGGUGAAACCAACUGCUGAGAAAGACCACCACUGUUAACCCUUUCAUCAGUAUUCGAUAUGUUUCGUUUGGACAAGUCAUUUAUUGCAGGAAUUGCAGUUAUGGACCCAUUUCCUCGAACUGGACCUACACUUAUAGGAGCAGCUAAUGCCUGACUAGUUAACCCACGGGUAAUACCCCUGCCAAGACCAAUUUCAGUAACUGCGGGAGACGGUCUACGUGGAGGGAAGCUCAUGCUUCCAUCAUCCUUCACGACUGUAGAUAAGUUUGCAGGAGUUGAAGAAACCGCAGGCAUGCUCUCUGGAGCAUUUCGAACAGCAGCAGAGGCGCAAAUAUUGUGGGUGUUGCAGCAGGAAUAAUUGGCCUCACUGGGCCUGGGGAACUAAUGGUAUC